UAGUGCAUCAACAAUCUCCAUACAGGACCUUGUAUCAAGCCGGGAUGUAUCAAACGUCUUUUAAAAAGCGCUUUUUCAGGGGCGGCAGGGAAUAGAACAGUGUCAUAAAUAUUCAACCCACUCUCACGGAAAUACGUGACACUGUCACGUCAUUUAAUCUAUUCAUUCGUGAUCUGGGACACGUAAUUUAAAUUUUCUCGUGCCAAAAGCACAAAUUUCUAACAAUAUGACAGCUUUUGGCCACCUGUUUCUACUUUCACCUAUGAUUCUGGGAAAUUGUGACAAUUCACAGAUAUAUUGAAUGCAGGUGCGCAUACCGCAACGGAAAAAAGGUAUCUGCUUCAUCUCUUCUUUUUCAAAUGAGUUUGAAAUUUGUGCUUUUGGCACGAAAAGAUUGAAAUUACGUGUCCCAGAUCAAGAAUGAAUAGAUUAAAUGACGGGACGUGAUAGUGUCACAUAUUUCCGUGAGACUGGGUUGAAAUAUUUGGCCUGUUAAGCCCUUUGAGACUGUAAUGGGGAUUAAGGUCUAUACAAAUACAUUUGAAUUUGAUUGAACAGUGGCCUGAAGCCUAAAGGCCUAAACACACCGCCGCCGCCGCGCUACGGCGCGCAUUUCACGCGCGUCAAAAGCCGCCACCAACAGGAAGCGGCACGACGGUCGCGCUGCAGUGUAUAAUCAGGAAGUCACCUGUCGAUCAACCGCAACAAAGAGACGAUGGAACAAAGAAUUGCUGCCAGACAGAGGGUGGCUGCCUUUCUUCUGCUGCGCCGUAGGCGUGCAAGGAGAAGACGAAGGGUUUGGGUGCACCCCAUCAAUGAACGGAGACAAGAACAGGGGGUAUACCACAAUCUGGUCCAGGAGCUCCAUGAAGAUCCUGAGAGGCACCGCCAAUAUUUCAAUUUGCCACUAGGAAGCGUGCAAUGGCAGAACCGUAUGGUGUAGCCUAGUCAUGAUGACCUAUAAUUUAGUUAUUAUCCCUCUCUGGUAUAAAUACUCUUGCAUAAUAUAUAUAAAUAUAAUUUUUUUUUAUCCCUCGGGAUAAAUACAGUGAUGUUAUUGCUGUGCUGGACUCGGUAGCCAGUCUAUUUUAUUUGAGUGCUCGAGACACCUAAUGUUAUUUUCCUUAAAUCCAGAGAGACAGUUAAUUCAUGAUCUGAUACCAGAGAGACAGUUAUUACAUGACAAUGCAUUUUUGAACUUUGCCUGUUUUUUCUUUUACUUAUCUAUUUUAUUGCAUGAGAAUGUUUCUAUGUGAAGCACUUUGAGUCUGCUUCAUGUAUGAAAAGUGCUAGAUAAAUGAAGUUGCCUUGCCUUCAAUAAAAAAAUAUAUAUUACAAGUAAUCUGGUUUCUACCUACAUGGUGUGAUUAGCCAUAUUAUGUGACUUGAUUAAAGGUUAAAGUUUUGUGUACUUAGUCCACCAUUGUUGAUUUCUCACCUGAAGAGCCAAUCUCCAGAGCUAUGGAUCGAGCUAUGUCUUUUUUGGAGUUGUCUUUGUAAUGACGGGAACUUUGGUCAUACAAUUCGGCAUAUUUCUCCACCUCAAAGACCAGUCUCUCCUCAUCCAUUCUAGUAAUUGUUUCUCACAAACAAAAGAGGGCGACAUCCAGUGGUGAGGAGUAGAUAUAGAGGUGCCUACGGGACCCGGGAUGUACGAACCAGCUUUUAAAAAGCGCUUUUUCAGGGGCGGCGACGCUUUGGAAUAGAACAUUGGCGUGAAGCCUAGUUGGGCGGCGCGUCGUGGCGCGCUGCCGCGCGGCUAGUCGGCACCAGUGUGGGCUAAUACAUCCGGAAUAAUGGGGGCAGACUUUUUGACGCGCCGCUUCGGCGCCGGUGUGUUUAGGCCCUGAGUCACCAUUGUGAUACGCUCUUUAAGCGAUGCUUAAAGAGAUCGACUUUCGUGUCCAAGCUAACCCAGGCUUUGAACGCAACAUACCUUGCUAACCCACUAAUCGAGGUUCCUAGUAAAGGCCACAGUUUUCAGAAAAGUGUGUUUCCGUUUGUUCUUGUAAUCUUUUGUAUAGGCAGAUGACUCUGGUAGUUUCUCACAAGGAUAAAAAAGUUAUUGAAAGAACAAUUUGCGCAGAACUUCUAAAUGUUAUAAAAAAAAGUUGACAGGUUAUCACUUCACUUGGGUAAAACAUGGGGGAGUCCAUAUUCUUUGGAUCGAAUUGCAAAAGGUCCUAGCUGGAGAUUCUGAAAUACAGCCAAGGAAUCAGUCAGUUAUCUUGGCUGUGUAUUAGAUUGCCACUUAUCUAGUGUAGGUCAGGCUCAAAAGGAAAUCACCAAAAUAAAUCAAAGAAUCAGUUUUUUUUUUCUUGAUCAAAAAACAAUGUUAAUUUUAGCAGGAGCUUUAUUUCAGCCUUAUUAUGAUCAUGCGUGUGGCUCAUGAUACAAUGGUGUCACGAUGAAUUUGAAACAUAGGCUUCAGACCUUGCAAAAUAAGUUAGUUAGGCUUAUUUUUGACCUCCCCAUGAGAACUCAUCUCAAAUCUUCCCACUUUGAGAGGUCAGGAUGGUUGAAAAUAGAGGAUUGUGUAUCUUAGAUACAGCUGUGUAGGAUACAGAGGAUUGUUUAUGGGGAUGUGCCCAAAUAUUUCAGAAUUUUUUUUAACUGAGUAAGUGAAGUUCAAAGGCAGCUCAAUUGAUUUUUUGAGACUAUUUUGGGCGAAGAUUAUUUUCUUUAUGCUGGAACUACACUUUGGAACAGGUAACCUGAUACACUCCAGUCAUUCAGAAACAUAGGCAGUUUUAAACAGGCUUUGAAACAUUGGCUUAGAAGGCAUGUCUUAAUUAUGAUCGUUGUUGUGUGUGUAAUUUC